ACUCUAAGAGGCAUAUUACAUAGUCAUUUGGGUUCUCAAGUAUACUUUAGGUUAAAGUUAUAUUACUGCAGAUUCUAUUAGCAAAAUUCUACAGUAGCACUGUAUUAUUACAGACAGAAAAAUAAUCUUUAAAAGUGGAAAAAAUGACAUAAUCCAGGAGUAGGCCAUAAUUAUUAUAACUUAGUAGGUUUUAGUUUUAUCAUACUGGUAAGUAAGACCUUUCCUGGAAAUAAGGUGUUCAUCCAAGUAAAGCAAAUUAAUUUCUUUCAGGCACCUGAAACAUUACAACUGGGAAUAACUAUCUACUCCAAGAGAACUAAAUGGAUCCCUGGACUCCCUUCAAGUGCUAAUUUACCUAAUUUGACAAGAUGUUCACCACUUGUGACUAUGACCAGACAGCUUUGGCAAAGCAAAAAGGCCCUUCCAGUUCAUCCAAACAAUGCUGGAAAAUACGGAGGAAUAACUGGUUGGCCUUCUACAAUUGGACCAAAUAUGGACAGCAUUAUGAGGUUUGCUGACUGGCUGUGGGAGAGGUGUACUUCCCUGUUCAAUUGAGGCUGGCUUGGACUGUGAUUUUCGUUAGUAAAAUGACACUGAUAAUUACCUACGCAACGUGUCUGUCUACCACCUCUCAUCCUCUCCUUCAGCGAUGGUGAGGAACUUGUUUUGCUCAGGGUCUUUCAGCCUGGCGCAAAGGUGGAACAUGGAACCCUGAUGGAGAAAAGUUGCUGCUGAACCGUAUCUCAACAGACACAGUGAGGAUAAUGUGCCUCUGUUUCUGUAAGCCAUUGGGAUUUCUGGCUUGUUCAUGACAUAGAAAAACGGACCACAUAUACAUAUUUUAUAGUGACAAAAAUCAAAAAGUAGCUAGGUUAAAUAACUUUCCCAAUGUCUCAUACCUGGAAAUAGAAAUCAUUCCCAAACCAGUGUGUUUUCACUUAUUACAUAAUGCUUUUCUUUGUGAUAAAAUGAAUUGCCAAAGAAUUUACAAGGUAAGCU